UUAGCUCAGAUUUGUAUGGAAUGGGAUCGUUUGCCUACGUUUGCCGCUAGGGGCGCUGUUCCAACUGCAUACAAAAUUGGCUUA
rnacentral:pre_miRNA from 1 species